CUGAUCCGACGGCUCGGGCUCAUUGUACACUGUGUUUUGGAAGUGUCUGAUUGUAGGGUGGCAUGUUUGGGGUUGUUCCUUGUAGGCCGCAGAACUCGUGUCUCACUUCUAACUCCCGACCUGCUUUAAAAACACACUUUUUUGGGGGGAGGGAGGGGGUACAUUUAACUUUAACAAAUACAAACUUUACAACAUACAAACUUUAACUCAUACAAACUUUAGAGCAAACUUUCUGUUACUCUCCCCACCCUCCCCCUUCCUUUUUCUAAAUGGAAAAGAAUGUCCGGAGGGGUUGUCAGAUAGAAGACUACACUUACAAAGUGUUUAUGAUUCCAGGUGCAUGAAAUCUUUAAUAUUACAGGGUGAUGACAACUCCGUGAGGGUGGAGAUUAUAUGUCUCAUCAUUUCGGCAACAAGGAAAUAAAUUAGUGGCAGAGUGAGGGUGACUUGAGAUCUCCUGGAAGCGAGGAUCCUUUAAAAAUCCUGGAAUAUACACUGCAGUAAAAGAACAAAGCAUACCUCAGCCUUAAACUACUGAAGAAGAAUGUCAAGUGGGGAAGUGGCUUUGGUUUUGAGUUUGUGGGUUCUGAAUCCACACAAAGACAGGACUGCAUUCUGAAAACCUGAAUUAAUUAUUGUCCUUACCUCAAUAAGACAAAAAAUUAUAAUCAAAAUCAUUAGUAUUACAGUCACAGAUAUUGCCAAGAUGAGUCUGUUGUUAUAGCCAUAUCCUGGAACUUCUUUCGUGAGCUAAAAAAAAAAAAAAAAAAGGAAAGAACAAUUAAAAAAAAAAGAAAAGAAUGAAGCUAACUUUUCAAUAACCCCAGUAUUCCAGGUUUGAGUAGCUUACAGUUUCUUUUUUAUUUUUUUUGAGACGGGUUUCACUCUGUCACCCCCAGGCUGGAGUACAGUGGUACGUCACAGUUCACUACAGACUCUACCUCCCUGGGCUCAGGUGGUCCUCCCACCUUCAGCCUCCCGAGGUAGCUUGGGACUAAGCACGUGUCAACCCACACCCA
rnacentral:lncRNA from 1 species